rnacentral:rRNA from 1 species
UACGGGGGGGGCAAGCGUUGUUCGGAAUUACUGGGCGUAAAGGGCUCGUAGGCGGCCAACUAAGUCGGACGUGAAAUCCCUCGGCUCAACCGGGGAACUGCGUCCGAUACUGGCGGGCUUGAAUUCGGGAGAGGGAUGUGGAAUUCCAGGUGUAGCGGUGAAAUGCGUAGAUAUCUGGAGGAACACCGGUGGCGAAGGCGGCAUCCUGGACCGACAUUGACGCUGAGGCGCGAAAGCCAGGAGAGCAAAC